GGGGCCUUCAUGGUUUCGACGUGUUGGGGAAACCCGAAGCGUGAUGCAGGCCGAGAGUGAGUCUCCUCUCGUAAAUCAAAGGCUCAAAACAAAAAGUAAAUGCGAACAACAUCGUUCCUUUCGCUCGCAAAGCAGCUGCGGUUGCUUAGAAAAAACCUCCAAUAGGUUCGAGCACUUAUAGUCCGACUCCGUUAAAGGCUAUAGGUAAACCCCAACGGAUGCACUCAUUCACUGUCUCUGGUCAGUGAACUGAGUUAAGACAAUACCAGAGCAUCCCGCCGUCCGGGAUAAGGGACGGUCCCCGCCCCAAGGGUUAACGGGGCUAAGCCUGUGAAUGAUCGUGAGGUCAAUACCCAAGGCGGACACGGGUUCGAUUCCCGUAGGCUCCACUU
rfam:Phormidium sp. OSCR ITZY_scaf_427, whole genome shotgun sequence.